rnacentral:rRNA from 1 species
AUGCUUCUUCACGUCCUAUCGUGCGUCGUAAUUGCUACUAGUGGAACUAUUGGCUAUUACUCCGUUUCUGGAUGGCGAAGGGCAGAUUUCAGUGAGUCCUCCUUCCUUUCCGUCUCGAGAGGGAUAAUCGCUGGAGUCUUGCUGUCCACUGGUUUGACAAACCUCCUCCCUCGGGGAAUCAAGGACCUGGAGCCCUGGGCCGAGCUACCGAUCGGCGGGAUGGCAGUCCUGCUGGGCUGCGGUCUUGUAAUGGCAUUACCCCAGCGGUAUUUCCUGAGGGUUUCCGUUACUGAUGAAGCGCAGAAUGGCCUGGACGGGCCGGCGGCCGUCCUCCGUCGUCUGGAGGAUAUCCACGCCAUCCGUGCGAAAGUAGAAAAAUUGAUACCCGUGAUCGGCGCACAUUCCGUCCUUUUCGGUUUCUGUAUCGGAGUAUCUACAGACCCAUAUGCCGUCUGGCCACUAACUAUUACCCUCUCUUUGUUUAAUCUUUAUGAGGGGAUGUUCCUGGGAAAUGACAUGAUUCAGAUCGCCCAGCAGGAUCGCCCAAUUAUAGGAGGUUUACCUGAAUUAAUCCAGAUUAAGUUUCGACUAGGGUCCGUCUCGACAAUUUAUUUGUUUUAUGCCCUGACAAUGCCACUAAGUGUUGCUCUCGUAUCUUCAAUACACAACGAUCUCAGCCCAAGGAACAACAUGCUACAAGGAGUAUUAACAUGUGUUACAUCUGGUAUGCUGACGUACCUGGGGCUCGUAGGCGCUAAUGUGGAAAGGAACUGGCAAACAAUUGUGUCGGCAUUUAUAGCUGCUGGACUAAUGACAGUGCUGGCGUGGUGA